rnacentral:rRNA from 1 species
CUGCAUAUCAUCAGGUCGAGGCCUACUGUCGGCAUGGAUAGGGCUCGUCAUGCGGCGCUGUUCUCCCGACCUCCUUCCCAUCACAGCGUGAUGGGAAUCACUGCCUUACAAGGCUGUAACUCUGCUCAAACAUCUUGCCAAGGAGGAGUAGCAGCCGCGCCUGGAAGGCGUCGAGCAGGGGGCGGUGUAAGGGCCGUGGAGCAUGGCAACUCCAAGAUGCUAGCAUCCGCUAGCUGUAAGACAUCGUUCCCCGCCUAAUUAGUUUCUUUCUUCCUCCACAGUUCUUACUUAGUAGAUGUUCCUUGCUAUUGUAGCAUAUUGGAUUGUUUGGAGAUAUUUGGUUCUACGAUGGUCAGGUUGAUCAAAAUGACAUGUAAACCGAUCAGGAAGGUCCUGAUCGGCUGCUGGUGCUCUGAUCGCGCAAGGGGAGCGUGGCGCACAACCUUCGUCUGCUCAAGAUGAUGUGGCAGUGUUGUGUGGGCCUUGACGGCAGGCGCAACGACCAGCUGGACUAUGGCAACAGGGAAUUCUCCAUCAACGAGACGCCAGCGUUCCGGUUCUGCAUUGCGCCCUCCGUCUCGAACACCCCCGGCGUCUACAACGACGACCACUACUUCUUCUGCGAUGCCCGCCAGAGGGAUGUGGACCGUGUGGACUGCUAUGAUGGCGAGCAGAGUUAGUAUGUCCUGGAGAGCC